rnacentral:rRNA from 1 species
UUGGCGGGGUAACGGCCCACCAAGGCGACGAUGACUAGGGGAUCUGAGAGGAUGGCCCCCCACACUGGUACUGAGACACGGACCAGACUCCUACGGGAGGCAGCAGUAAGGAAUAUUGGUCAAUGGAGGGAACUCUGAACCAGCCAUGCCGCGUGCAGGACGACGGCCCUCUGGGUUGUAAACUGCUUUUAUUCGGGAAUAAACCUACUUACGUGUAAGUAGCUGAAUGUACCGAAGGAAUAAGGAUCGGCUAACUCCGUGCCAGCAGCCGCGGUAAUACGGAGGAUCCAAGCGUUAUCCGGAUUUAUUGGGUUUAAAGGGUGCGUAGGCGGCUUAUUAAGUCAGGGGUGAAAGACGGUGGCUCAACCAUCGCAGUGCCUUUGAUACUGAUGAGCUUGAAUGGACUAGAGGUAGGCGGAAUGUGACAAGUAGCGGUGAAAUGCAUAGAUAUGUCACAGAACACCGAUUGCGAAGGCAGCUUACUAUGGUUUAAUUGACGCUGAGGCACGAAAGCGUGGGGAUCAAACAGGAUUAGAUACCCUGGUAGUCCACGCCCUAAACGAUGAAUACUCGCUGUUAGCGAUAUACAGUUAGCGGCUAAGCGAAAGCGUUAAGUAUUCCACCUGGGGAGUACGC